rnacentral:rRNA from 1 species
AGCCGCAGGGGUAUAAUUCUUUCGGGAAUUAGAGACCGGCGCACGGGUGAGUAACGCGUAUGCAACUUGCCCUACUGAAAAGGAUAGCCCUUCGAAAGGAGGAUUAAUACUUUAUAAUAGAUUUCAUAGCAUUAUGNANUUUUGAAAGAUUUAUCGCAGAGGAUAGGCAUGCGUAAGAUUAGAUAGUUGGUGAGGUAACGGCUCACCAAGUCGACGAUCUUUAGGGGGCCUGAGAGGGUGAACCCCCACACUGGUACUGAGACACGGACCAGACUCCUACGGGAGGCAGCAGUGAGGAAUAUUGGACAAUGGGUGAAAGCCUGAUCCAGCCAUCCCGCGUGUAGGAAGACGGCCUUAUGGGUUGUAAACUACUUUUAUCUGGGGAUAAACCUAUCUACGAGUAGAUAGCUGAAGGUACCAGAAGAAUAAGCACCGGCUAACUCCGUGCCAGCAGCCGCGGUAAUACGGAGGGUGCAAGCGUUAUCCGGAUUUAUUGGGUUUAAAGGGUCCGUAGGCGGAUUAAUCAGUCAGUGGUGAAAUCUCAUAGCUUAACUAUGAAACUGCCAUUGAUACUGUUAGUCUUGAGUAAUGUUGAAGUUGCUGGAAUGUGUNAGUGUAGCGGUGA